rnacentral:rRNA from 1 species
AGAGUUUGAUCCUGGCUCAGAACGAACGCUGGCGGCGUGCUUAACACAUGCAAGUCGCGUGCCAGUUUCCGUAGCAAUACGGGGAUGGGCGCACGGCGCACGGGUGCGUAACACGUGGGCAAUCUGCCCUCCGAUGGGGAAUACCCCCGCGAAAGCGGGACUAAUUCCGCAUAACAUUCCUUGGAUUAACUUUCGAGGAUUCAAAGCAGCAAUGCGUCGGAGGAGGAGCCCGCGCCCGAUUAGCUAGUUGGUGAGGUAACGGCUCACCAAGGCAAUGAUCGGUAGCUGGUCUGAGAGGAUGGCCAGCCACACUGGAACUGAGACACGGUCCAGACUCCUACGGGAGGCAGCAGUGGGGAAUCUUGCACAAUGGGCGAAAGCCUGAUGCAGCGACGCCGCGUGGGGGAUGAAGCUUUUCGGAGUGUAAACCCCUUUCGACUGGGACGAAUGCCUCGCAAGAGGAGUGACGGUACCAGUAUAAGAAGCCCCGGCUAACUACGUGCCAGCAGCCGCGGUAAGACGUAGGGGGCCAGCGUUGUUCGGAAUUACUGGGUGUAAAGGGUUCGUAGGCGGUGUGGCAAGUCGGGAGUGAAAUCUCUGGGCUCAACCCAGAGACUGCUUCCGAAACUGCUGUGCUUGAGUGUGAGAGAGGCUCGUGGAAUUGCAGGUGUAGCGGUGAAAUGCGUAGAUAUCUGCAGGAACACCCGUGGCGAAAGCGGCGAGCUGGAUCACUACUGACGCUGAGGAACGAAAGCUAGGGGAGCAAACAGGAUUAGAUACCCUAGUAGUCC